GUUUCAUUUUGGGCAAAUGAUUUUGCCCUUUAUCGCUUUGUGCCGUCAGUGCUAAAUAUUGGAACUAUAAUGAAAGGCCAUUUAAAAUGACUGUACUGCAGAAGUGCUGGUUUCAGAAACACGUCUAGUGCCCAGAGGAAAGAAUGUUUGAAUCUCAGGAUAGUAUAAACAACAAAAAAUGGAUCAAAGGAAGCGGUGUGUCAAAAGAGAGGGCCAAGGAGGGUGCUCCUGGAGAAAAUGAUGAGAUGGAAGGAUGUGUCUUCUUUUAAAAAUCUCUUUAAUUCCUUUGCUUUUCUUUUUAAAUGCAAUGCUUCAGCUCCUGGGGAAUGCUUCAAAAGUGUCACCACUGAGGAAUUCAAUAGUACAUCUUCGUCAGAUAUGUAAAACCACUUUUAUUUUUUUUAUCUUCCUGACAUUUGAGUCUUGUUUGACAUCAUUAAUGUAGCGUUUACAAAUUUGAUAUACAAGCGAUUCACCUUGUUUCACCGCAUUUAUGUUGGGUGAGUACUGUCUGCUGUGGAUACUCACAUAAAAUAGAGCAAUAAUGCACUUUCAGUGAAAACAUUUUUAAGUUUAGACCAAAAACAAAGAUGAGGAAAAAACAGCACUUUGUCUUAUACACACAUACACACAUGUAUGCAUAUAAACUCAGUGAGCACCUUAUUAGGUAUUUAUUAGACUUAUUUUUAUUUAUUAGACUUAUUGGUCUUCUGCUGCUGUAGCCUAUCCAAAGAGGUUUGACGUGUCAUGUGUUCAGAGAUGUUCUUCUGUAUACCACUGUUGUAAUGUGUGGUUAUUUGCGUUACUGUCACCUUCCUGUCAGCUUUGACCAGUCUGGCUAUUCUCCUCUGACCUCUCUCAUUAAUAAGGUGCUUCUGUCUGCAGAACAGCUGCUGACUAAAUGUUUUUUGUUUCUCUGCAAACUCUAGAGACUGUUGUGUGUGAAAAUCUCAGGAGAUCAGUGGUUUCUGAGAUAUUCAAAUCACUGUGACCAACAAUCAUCCAACAUUGACACAGUCAAAGUCACUAAGACCACAUUUCUUCCCCAUUCUGACCUUUGGUCUGAAAAACAGCUGAACCUCUUGACCAUGUCGGCAUGUUUUUAUGCAUUUAGUUGCUGCCACAUGAUUGGCAUAUUUGCAUUAACACGCUGGUGGACAGAUCUACCUAAUAAAGUGCUCAGUGAGUGUAUCAACAUUCAAUCACAUGCCGAGUCCAUUUAUAAAUUACAUAUUAGGUGUAUACUUGUUGUAAUUUAUUUUGAAUUCAUAAGCCUCAAUAUUUCAUGUGAACCUCUGAACCAUUGUUUUUGAUUGUUCCUUCUUCAGGCCAAUGCCAUUCUAACAGUUUCCUCUCCAAGAAAGGGCUACAAAUUUCAGCUUCUGGUCCUAGAUAAUAUAUGAAAAAAGUGAGAGUGUGUGAGAGAGAGAAGAACAAGAAGGAGACAAAGAGGAAGAGGAGUAUGAGGAGACUGAGUGGGAGGUAGGGGGUGAAGACCCUACACUUUUCUGUACGCGACACAACAGUAAUGAGGAGGACUCAACUUUCUACAACAGAAUCUAUUUUCUUCUUCUCUCUCCUGUCUUUCCCAGAGCUGUUUGCUGUUUGCGAUGUUGGUGUGGCUAACCCCUGUGGUCCAGUCCAAGAAAAUGUUUCAUUACAACAAAUUAUCAUGCAAUUCAAAUUGAUUAGUUCUGUGUGUGUGUGUGUGUGUGUGUGUGUGUAUGUGUGUGUGUGUGUGUGUGCUUGUGACAUUCUGGAGGGUGAGUACAGCCGGGAGUAGUCGUAGAGAUCACAUUUCCCUUAACAAAAAGCUAUUAAAUCAAGCCUUGUACUUGUUCUUUGCUUAGCAAGCUAUGUACUGUGGAAAAAGUGGACACAUGAGUGGCACAGCACUGCACAGCACCCAGGUGCACUGGUUUAUAAAAUGAUGUCCCUCUGGGAGUACAGUCUCAUCA